rnacentral:rRNA from 1 species
CCUACGGGUGGCAGCAGUGGGGAAUAUUGCACAAUGGGGGAAACCCUGAUGCAGCGAUGCCGCGUGAGUGAAGAAGUAUUUCGGUAUGUAAAGCUCUAUCAGCCGGGAAGAAAUAGCGACCUUUGGGUCGCCAGACGGUACCUGACUAAGAAGCCCCGGCUAACUUCGUGCCAGCAGCCGCGGUAAUACGUAGGGGGCAAGCGUUUUCCGGGUUUACUGGGUGUAAAGGGAGCGUAGACGGCAGCACAAGUCUGAAGUGAACUGCCGGGGCUUAACCCCGGAACUGCUUUGGAGACUGUGCAGCUAGAGUGCAGGAGAGGUAAGUGGAAGUCCUAGUGUAGCGGGGAAAUGCGUAGAUAUUAGGAGGAACACCAGUGGCGAAGGCGGCUUACUGGACUGUAACUGACGUUGAGGCUCGAAAGCGUGGGGAGCAAACAGGAUUAGAUACCCGUGUAGUC